rnacentral:lncRNA from 8 species
AAUGGUCAUUAUAAACCGGAUGGUUCAAGCCCUGAAUGCUGAUUGGUUGAAAGCCAUGGUAUAUCAGACCGUAUACCAUGGGUAUGACAAAACAUUUAUUUUUACUGCUCUAAUUACUUUGGUAACCAGUUUAUAAUAGCAGUAAGACACCUCUGGGGUUUGUGGUAUAUGGCCAAUAUAACACGGCUAAGGGCUGUGUCCAGGCACUCUGCAGUAUAUUGGCAAUAUACCACACCUUGUGUCUUAUUGCUUAAAUAUACCAGACUCCCUCCGGCCUAAUUGCUUAUUUAACCCCAUCAGUCACCAUACAAUGGUGUUUGUGAUGCUAAUGACAGUGAUAGGAUGGAAGGAGGAGGACAGGAGCGGAGGGAUGGAGAGGAAGAUUUAGUUGUGGCUGAUAAAAGCUGACCUGGCUCCAGUGGCUCCUCCUGUCAUUGUAGUGCUGUGAUACAAUAAUCCCCCUGCUCCCUCUUAUGUAACGGACUGGAGAACACAUGAAUAAUCCCAGCCUGCCUCUGUCUCUACACACACACACACACACGCAUACACAGUCAGUCAGUCAAUGAGUGGGCGCAGCGAGCAGCAGAAGCGGCCUGUUGUGGGGAUAGCCAUGGAGCUCUGGAUGCAUGGCAGCAGCACUGGUAAACUAUGGACAGGUAUCUGUGUUAUAGGGAGGUGAAAGGCUUGAGCACCAGGUCAUUGGAUUUACACCUAAUCCAGGGAUGAAGCCGUAUUGUGUUUGUAAUGUGAGUACAGUGUGCAUAUGUGUGAGCAUGAGUCUGUUUUUAAAUAUACAAAGUCUAAAUUUGUUGUGUGUCUGCGAGCCUGUGGGCGUGCGUGUUUUUUUUUUUUUACAGCAUCCAUCUCUGUGUUUCUUUGUGAUUUACGAUGUGUGUGUGCGCCAGACUGCCAGGACAUCAUGCGAGGUCACAGGUCAAGUGACAUUGAGGAGCUUCUGAGACAGUCUCAUUCAGAGCUGCUGUGGAUCCAGAGACAGCUGUCAAUCAUCGCUGCCAGGAACUCCCAUCACCUGCAGGUCCAAGGGAAGAAAACUAAGCUCCAGGAUGCGUUGCAGGAGAAAAAUCGUCUGAACCUUGAGUUGUCCAGCCACAGCCUGAAGGCAUCCAAGUAUGACCAGGUAAGGUCAGAAUAUGAGCAACUUAGACACACCUAUAGCACUGUGAGUCAGGAGAGAGACUUGGCUCAAGAGGAGAGGAAACAGCUCCAAGGCAAACUGGAGAACCUCGAGCAGGUCCUCAAGGUGAGAAUCCAUCUGCCCGUCCAUCCAUCCAAACAUCCAUCAAUCCAUCCUAGCUCUCCUAAAUUCACUGCUACUUUUCCUCCAACGCAGCCAAUCAUGAGAUAUGGACUAAACAUCAGCUGCACGGUUCUAUAAGGCCUUUGCAAUCUGAUUGGUUUAAGUUAACGUAAGGCCAGAUCACUUGAACCUUUUGUGAAAAUCUGAUUGGACAAAUGCAUCUAUCUACAAAGUCUGUCCUUCGAGUUAUAGAAUACAUAUUGUUUUUACAAUAAAAGCUUGGAAGAAAUUGGUGUAAGUCAUGAGCUUUGUUAUCUGUUUUGCAGGACACCCUUUUUCAUUACACUCUUAUUUGCCAAUAGCAAUCAGCAGUAGUCUCAUAGCAGUGUGAAAAUGCUCUCAUUACAAAUCACUGCUUUCCUCCAUUCCAUAUUGAUUGUCUGUUUGUAAGGAGUGGAUAUGUUUGAGGGAAAAAUGUACCCAUCAAGAGGAAAUUGACUCCUGCUCCUGAAAAAUGAAAGAAGUGUGUGUUGCUUUCUCAUUGCCUAUUUGCCUAUUGAUUUGUACAGAUGGGUAGAUUGCAUGUUGGAGAACAUUAUGGAGAGAGAUGGG